rnacentral:lncRNA from 1 species
UGCCCUAGAGGGCCCAGUAGCCCCACUGAAGCUGGCCCAGCACAAGGAGAUCUACAUCUUCCAGGGAGAGGCAGCUGAGAUCAGAAGGGACCAGCUGGAGAGCCCAGACCAGGACCAGGAGGGUCUGUCAAGGGCUUCUGCUCACCCAGGAACCCCACAGAGCAGCCACGGGCCUUCCAGAGAUCUGACAUGCCCUGUGACCUCAGGCCAGUCCUUGCCCGCUCUCAGCCUUACUCUUCCACACUGCUUAUUUCGGAGACCCUUCUGGUCUGCAUCUGGAGCUUGGGGCCCAUGGUAGCCCAGGAGGCAGUGCCGCCAGCAGACAUCGUUUUCUCAGUGAAGAGCCCACCGAGUGCCGGCUACCUGGUGAUGGUGCUGCGUGGCAUCUUGGCAGAUGAGCCACCCAGCCUGGACCCCGUGCAGAGCUUCUCCCAAGAGGCAGUGGACACAGGCAGGAUCCUCUACCUGCACUCCCGCCCUGAGGCCCGGAGCCAUGCCUUCUCGCUGGAUGUGGCCUCGGCCUGGGUGCUCCCCUUGAGGACGUCACGUGGAGCUGGAGGUGCUGCCUGCUGUCAUCCCCACUGGGGGCACAAAACUUCAGCAGUAGAGGGGGCACAGUCGCAGCUGCACCCUGGCCCCUCCACUGCUCCGCGUUGCCAGGUCCUACUUCCCCACUCUCCCGGGCCUUGGCCUGCAGGUGCUGGAGCCACCCCGGCAUGGGGCCCUGCAGAAGGAGGAUGGGCCUCAAGCCAGGACCCUCAGCACCUUCUGCUGGAGAGAGGUGGAAGAGCAUCUGAUCCAGUACCUGCACGAUGGGAGCAAGACACUGACGGUUUUGUCCUGAUGGCUAAUGCCUCUGAGAUGGACCGCCAGAGCCAUCCUGUGGCCUUCACUGUCACCAUCCUGCCUGUCAAUGGCCAACCCCCGACCUCAUACAAACUCAGGCCUGCAGGGGCCCUGGACGGAGGCAUCCACUUUGGCCUCUCUGACAGUGAACAUACUUCCUCCAGACACUUAGCUUCUGAGUGACGGCCCAGAAGCAAGUGCUUCACUCGCUGGAGGGCAGCCGGACACUGACUGCCCAGAGUCCGUCCAGCCACUCAGCAGCCAGAGCCUCAGAGCCAGCAGGCACCGACCCCCAGCUCCUGCUCUACCAUGUGGUGCGGGGCCUCCAGCUAGGCCGGCUCUUCCACGCCCAGCAUGACAGCACAGGGGAGGACCUGGUGAACUUCACUCAGGCAGAGACCCCGGAGUUCAUCAUCUCGGAGCUGCUGGCCAAUAUGUACUCAUGUGGGAACCAGAACACACUGAUGGAGGAGUUGGCAGAGCAGGCACAGCAGCACGACGAGAUGCUGCACAUGCACCACGCGCUGAAGGAGGCGCUCAGCAUCAUCGGUGACAUCAACAGGACCACUGUCACCAUGCCCAUGCCCCCGCCCGUGGACGACACCUGGUUGUCAGAGCAUCCCUGACGAACACAGCCCAGUCCCGGGGGCGCCUACUUCAGGUCUGAGAGUCUGAACUCCGAGAUGCUCUGGGUGUGUGGAUUUCCUUCAGCUACCCUGAUGUCCCCACUUCCAAGUCCUGACUCCUUUGAGCCAUCCCAGGGGGUGUCCGGCCACUGGACCACAGGAGCAGAGGCGAGUCUGUGACUGUGUGACCAGCAAGGAUGGCUGUGGGGAUCAAGGGAGACAGUGGCCAUAGGGAUGCUAUGUUAACCGCAGAUGCGGCUGUAGGAGCACUUUGCUAACUGCCAACGAUGGGUGGUCCUCUGAGCACGCCAGGCACGAGUGUGCAGGGAGCUGGUGCAAAUGCCUCUGUGUGCAGAAUCACUAUCAGUGGCCCCUGAGGAGCAUCAGCCAUGGUACCAUCACAGCUGCUAGCAUGUGACUGAAGGCUGGGUCCCUGGCCAGCACUACUGAAGCACUACUGCCAGCCAGCAGGCUCACGGACCUUGGCCUGUUGCUCCUAGGGGUCACCUGUGCUAUUCAGCCAAGGAGACCACAGUGCUUGCUGGCCCAGCUGAGCUCCGCCUAGCGAGCCCACCUGCCUUUCCUGCCACGGAGUCUCCCUCUUCUGCUUUUCCCAGCAGGAAGGGCCCAGCCUCACCUAUGCAACCUGCAGCCCCCCGCCAACCAGUUGAGGUUCCCCUCUUAGACUUAUAAGUCUAUGGGCAGUGGCAUCUAGCUACCUGCCCUCCCUGCCUUCCCCAGGGUCCCUUCAGUGGACCCUGGGCUUUCUGACUGCCCAGAGAGGGGCCUCUGGCGCUCACUCCAGCCAGCCAUCCCUUACAGCUUCACCAUUUUGGUUCAAGCAGUGUUCCUUCUGUCAGGCUUGGUGGCUGUUGGGUGGGGCUCCCCAAGCAAGAGGUGGCCCUGGGCCAGUGGGUUGGAAGAUGGGGUGACCACAGAAGAGGGAAGCCGGGGGAGUUGAGCAUUGGUCUGAACUGUGGGUGGACUGCCUGGGUGCCAUGAGAGAGGCCAGUGUGUGUGGGGUGGGGAGGACUGCCACAGCCCCCAGGCACUACCUAUGAAGCUCCGGCUUCUCCCUCCAUCUUCCUCCCCUUUCCCUUCCAGCCCCUCUUUUCCAGGAACCUUGCCACGCCCACACCUACGCCUUCCCCUUCCCGGCUCUCAGAUGAUGGUGGUGUUUAUCUCCCUGUUCUUGGGAGCCCAAAAAGAAUGGCAUGCAGGGGUUGCUGCCCAUGCCUGGGUGCUCCUGGGGAGUCCUGCAUUACAGGAAGCAGCUGCUGGAUCUGCUGUGCAGUGGGGUUGUCGUGGGGAGAACCCUCCCUGUCCUCUCCUGGUGCAGCCUCCACGCUAUCAGUGAGGCUCACCUCACAAAGAUCUUCAGAGAGAGGGAGGGGGGGUGGGAAUCUGAGCACAGUGUGAGCCUCCCCUGCUCCUGCCUGCCCACCCCGCCUGAGGGCUCUACUCACCACCCUGCUCGUCAGCACACCCAAGCUCCUGGGCUAUUGGGGCUCCUAGAGUGGGCUCAUCAGCAGGGUUCUGGGCAAUGGUCAGAAUUUGCCAUGCCCCUCCUUGUGGUCUCCCACAAGCUGCAACACCUGCCCCGCAGCUCCUGCAGGUUCACCUGGAGGAAGGGGUGUUAGCUGCCAUGCCGGUGCCAGCACGCACGUUCACACCCACCCCCACCCUCCCCCACCGAGAUGUUGCACACCCUACCUUCAUCUCCUCCUGGUCCUGGGCCAGCCUGACGAUGUCCUCCUCUCCCAGUGCUGCGUCUCUGACACUGCCCCCUGGCUGAUGUACUUUCCUGCAGGAGGACAUGGCUCAGAUGCUGGGGCCCCUCGGACGGCCUGGCAGCUCCCCCCAGCGGUGCCCUAGCCUCUCACUCCCUAUGGUGUCUGUCUGUCCUGAGAGGUGGAUGAAUUGAAGCUCUAGUUUCUCU